UACGGGGGGAGCAAGCGUUGUUCGGAUUUACUGGGCGUAAAGGGCGCGUAGGCGGUCACGGCAAGUCAGUUGUGAAAUCUCCGGGCUUAACUCGGAACGGUCAACUGAUACUGUCGGACUAGAGUGCAGAAGGGGCAACUGGAAUUCUCGGUGUAGCGGUGAAAUGCGUAGAUAUCGAGAGGAACACCUGCGGCGAAGGCGGGUUGCUGGGCUGACACUGACGCUGAGGCGCGAAAGCUAGGGGAGCGAACGGG
rnacentral:rRNA from 1 species